rnacentral:rRNA from 1 species
GAUGAACGCUGGCGGCGUGCCUAAUACAUGCCAGUCGAGCGAACGGACGAGAAGCUUGCUUCUCUGAUGUUAGCGGCGGACGGGUGAGUAACACGUGGAUAACCUACCUAUAAGACUGGGAUAACUUCGGGAAACCGGAGCUAAUACCGGAUGAUAUUUUGAACCGCAUGGUUCAAAAGUGAAAGACGGUCUUGCUGUCACUUAUAGAUGGAUCCGCGCUGCAUUAGCUAGUUGGUAAGGUAAAGGCUUACCAAGGCAACGAUGCAUAGCCGACCUGAGCGGGUGAUCGGCCACACUGGAACUGAGACACGGUCCAGACUCCUACGGGAGGCAGCAGUAGGGAAUCUUCCGCAAUGGGCGAAAGCCUGACGGAGCAACGCCGCGUGAGUGAUGAAGGUCUUCGGAUCGUAAAACUCUGUUAUUAGGGAAGAACAUAUGUGUAAGUAACUGUGCACAUCUUGACGGUACCUAAUCAGAAAGCCACGGCUAACUACGUG